rnacentral:lncRNA from 1 species
ACAGGCAGUUGUCCAGAACACAGGUGUGCAGUGCAUUCAAUGGAUCAUUAUGAACAAUACUAUGCAACAUAAAAAUAUUGCACUUAAGGGCAGCUAGCAACUG